rnacentral:lncRNA from 1 species
GAGAAGGAGAAAAAUAUUAAAUUUCAGGUAUUUCAUACUCUUUUCUUUUCAUAUUAUUUUCUUUUAAUUUAUAAAUCUCAAUUGUUAGAUCUUUAUUAUAUAUAUGUUGAAUGUCUAUAUGUACAUAGUUUAGUAGAAAUUGUUAUGAGAUUAGUGAAAGGAGAAAACAUUAAACAGAGAACUGGAAUUCGCUUCUGGUUGUAUCAAUGGCUGCCAAACUAAAAAUUAUCCAGUGUGGUCGAGCCUACGAAAUUAUCAUGUACUUUAAUUUAAAAAUUGGUCAAUCGAAUAAAUUUUUGGUCAUGUGAAUAGUCAUUUUUUAUAUUUUUCAGUGUUCUGGAUCCAAUUAUAGGGUUAGUUAGGACUGAUUUGGAGUAAUUCUAAGGUUAGAAUGAUGUGUUAUAUAAAGUGGUGAUCGAUAGUGAUAAUGAGCGUGUUUGGUAGUGUUUAACGGUGAAAAAUUAUCCAAUUGCCUUAAAAUUUUAUUAGGGUGUAACUACUACCACUUAAUGAGAAUUCAUCGGAUUGAAUUAUAAAUUUAUAGGAUUGAGUUCAUUAGUUUGAAUUAUUUUGUUGUAGGUGAUAAUCUUUUACUUUUGAUAGUUACGGAAGCAGAUUAAAGUACUCUGGUUCAACUAAAGGAGUGACUCGAUUGCAUUUGUAUGCCGGUAACAGGUUGGGAUAAUACAGAUAGUUUUGUUCAUAUUGAAUUAAUUGACUUUGAUAAAAUGUUGAUGUUGAUAUACAUACGAGGUUACUUGAAAUAAUGUUAAAGUUGAUAUACAUAUGAGGUGACAUUGUGGCAUUGCAUGUUGUAUGCUAAUGCAUUGCAUGGGGGAAGGUUUUUCCGAUUUGGGCCUAACCUAAAAAUUAACCGAUAUAGUGUUGAUCUAAAAGGAUGUCGAUGUGGGGCAUCUUUGAUAACGAGUUAUCGCUCAUGGGGCCAACGUUACUAAAAACUUGGCGGACAUGUGCGGUGAGCAUAUUGCCUUGACAUUCUUUAUUGUGGAUAUAUAUGAUGAUGGUGUUCUUUUUCCCAUUUAAUGAGUGAUUAUCGUUGUGGCAGUUAACUUUAGCGCACACAGACAUAGAUGUUUUGGGCAGGUGAGCAGAUAUGGAUAGCUGUCUAGUUCACUGUGAUCGAGAUCCUAGACGUGGUAACUUUCCUGGUCGUGUUUGGAAGUCAGUGGCAAAACUUGGGAUAAUUCUUGUCUUUAUACAAUUUUGUCUAGUUUUGUGUCAGUUGUUUAAAUGUCUUAUGUUUUAAAGCGAGUUUGUUUAUAUUUCAGUUAGGAUGUAUACAUAUACAUUUUAAAUUACUGUGAAUGAGUAUUAUGUAAUGUGGUGGAUAUCAGGAGUCGUUCGCAGGUAUGGUGACCUGUGCGAUCACAUCCCAUCUAAUUGUCAUUAAUUAUGUUUAAUUAGGUUGGGGGUGUGACAUAUAAUCUAGGUUAUGGUAUAGUGUUGGUGUCUAAGAUUGCAGUGAAUCGUAGAGAUUUGUUGGACUCGGUUAGAUUGUCAAGGGUGUGAGAAAUUAUAUAUUGGAUGUCCUAAUCUUGAUUUAAUGCAGAAAGAAAGAAUGACGGAUAAGGAGUCAUCAAAUUCAGUUAGAGAAGUGGAAGAAGGAGAGCAUGAAUCACGUGUUCAGAAUUAGCUUGAUGCAACAAAAAUAUUGACUAUGCUGAUGGCACAGUAUAUGGAGUAGUUGCUUGCCCUUGUCGUGCACUUUCAAUUGCUCAUUUACUCCCACUAACUGUACUGCCUACCGAUGAAGCUGUUGUAGGCCCUUGGGUACAAUGACUUGCUAUAUGCCCUGGUUAUUCACACUAAUAACAUUUUUCCGCC